GAAAUUUUAUUAAAAGAAAAAGGGGUGAAAAGAACAAAGUUUUGUCCAUCUUUGUUCAUCAUAGCUGAAAGUUAGAGAAGAGAAAGGAGAGGAGAAAGCUCUUGAGUAUUCGGUCACUAGGAGGAGGAAAAUUGAAGGAAAUCCCCAACCAUAGUGGGCUUGGAGCUGUGAGGGAAUUCGGAGUGACCACCCGUUCUGAAAGUUUGAUUUUCUUCUGGUGAACUGGACAUCCUUUUAUUUACGUUUGAAGUUUUGGGUUUUUAAAUGUAAUAAGGCCGCUUAAUUAUUUUUGAUGGUUUUAUAUGUUUUAUUAAGAUAGGUAAUAUUUAUAUUUAAA